GUGCUCGCUUCAGCAGCAUAUUUACUAACAUUGGAACAAUACAGAGAAGAUUAGCAUGGCCCCUGAGCAAGGAUGACAGGCAAAUUCGUGAAGCAUUCCAUAUUUUU